rnacentral:rRNA from 1 species
UACGAAGGGGCUAGCGUUGUUCGGAAUUACUGGCGUAAAGCGCACGUAGGCGGAUAUUUAAGUCAGGGUGAAAUCCCAGAGCUCAACUCUGGAACUGCCUUGAUACUGGGUAUCUUGAGUAUGGAAGAGGUAAGUGGAAUUGCGAGUGUAGAGGUGAAAUUCGUAGAUAUUCGCAGGAACACCAGUGGCGAAGGCGGCUUACUGGUCCAUUACUGACGCUGAGGAGCGAAGCGUGGAGAGCGAACAGG